AUUGAACGCUGGCGGCAGGCUUAACACAUGCAAGUCGAGCGAGCGGCGGACGGGUGAGUAAUGUCUGGGAAACUGCCUGAUGGAGGGGGAUAACUACUGGAAACGGUAGCUAAUACCGCAUACCAUCAGAUGUGCCCAGAUGGGAUUAGCUAGUGGGUGGGGUAAUGGCUCACCUAGGCGACGAUCCCUAGCUGGUCUGAGAGGAUGACCAGCCACACUGGGACGGAGACACGGUCCAGACUCCUACGGGAGGCAGCAGUGGGGAAUAUUGCACAAUGGGGGCAAGCCUGAUCCAGCCAUGCCGCGUGUGUGAGGAAGGCCUUCGGGUUGUAAAGCACUUUUGGCAGGGAGGCGUUAUCUGCAGAAUAAGCACCGGCUAACUCCGUGCCAGCAGCCGCGGUAAUUC
rnacentral:rRNA from 1 species